GGGUGCACAACUUGACUUUUACCAUCUAACACACCAAAACUUUAAUGAUUUUAUACAUAAAAUUGUAAAUAAUGAUAUUAUUAUGGGUGCACUUGCCCCCACAUCUCUCAACCUGCCUUCGCCCCUGAGUGUGGACUACGUAUGAACUUCACUAGGGUCUUUUGGCUUUCUUGUUAGCUUGGUGGAGCUUCACCGGAGGUUGUGUUCUCGGUCAGUCUGGCGGUUCUAUAUGGGCCCCCGGUUAAAAGGGUGUACAUGGUCUUGGGUUGGUUGGUUGGAGGCAGCAAUCUUCAACUGUACUUUCCGAACGACGGCAUCGCUGGUUCAGAGCCUUCCUCGUGCUGCUGGUGCGAUUCUUCUUGGGUUAGUAAGCAGGUUGGAGAUUGUGAUUCUUUGUGUAGGUUGUGGCUUGUGGAUCUUCGGAAGCUGUAGGAGCUGUGUGUUUCAAGGUUUGAGGGUGCUUUCUCCGGUAGCUCGCGGUAACUGGUUCUCACUCCGUUCAUACCUGUUCCUCUGGUCCGUCAUUGCUCCGGUGAUGUCUCGUAUAAAGUCUCAGUCUUUGUUUCUUUCCUGUUGAUCAUUUCUUGCUGCUUGGAUUCUUUUGUUUAGCUUAAUUUUCUGCAAAUCUGUUUCUUGUACAUCUCUGUAUUUUUGUAAAAAAUUGAAAAUCUGGUA
rnacentral:lncRNA from 1 species